rnacentral:rRNA from 1 species
AGUUUGAUCCUGGCUCAGGAUGAACGCUAGCUAUAGGCUUAACACAUGCAAGUCGAGGGGAAACGACAUCGAAAGCUUGCUUUUGAUGGGCGUCGACCGGCGCACGGGUGAGUAACGCGUAUCCAACCUGCCCAUCACUUGGGGAUAACCUUGCGAAAGUAAGACUAAUACCCAAUGACGUCUCUAGAAGACAUCUGAAAGAGAUUAAAGAUUUAUCGGUGAUGGAUGGGGAUGCGUCUGAUUAGCUUGUUGGCGGGGUAACGGCCCACCAAGGCGACGAUCAGUAGGGGUUCUGAGAGGAAGGUCCCCCACAUUGGAACUGAGACACGGUCCAAACUCCUACGGGAGGCAGCAGUGAGGAAUAUUGGUCAAUGGGCGAGAGCCUGAACCAGCCAAGUAGCGUGCAGGAAGACGGCCCUAUGGGUUGUAAACUGCUUUUAUAAGGGAAUAAAGUGAGUCUCGUGAGACUUUUUGCAUGUACCUUAUGAAUAAGGACCGGCUAAUUCCGUGCCAGCAGCCGCGGUAAUACGGAAGGUCCGGGCGUUAUCCGGAUUUAUUGGGUUUAAAGGGAGCGUAGGCCGGAGAUUAAGCGUGUUGUGAAAUGUAGACGCUCAACGUCUGCACUGCAGCGCGAACUGGUUUCCUUGAGUACGCACAAAGUGGGCGGAAUUCGUGGUGUAGCGGUGAAAUGCUUAGAUAUCACGAAGAACUCCGAUUGCGAAGGCAGCUCACUGGAGCGCAACUGACGCUGAAGCUCGAAAGUGCGGGUAUCGAACAGGAUUAGAUACCCUGGUAGUCCGCACGGUAAACGAUGGAUGCCCGCUGUUGGUCUGAAUAGGUCAGCGGCCAAGCGAAAGC